rnacentral:rRNA from 1 species
CAAUACGAGCGGCANACGGGUGAGUAACGCGUGGGAAUCUACCCAUCUCUACGGAACAACUCCGGGAAACUGGAGCUAAUACCGUAUACGCCUUUUUGGAGAAAGAUUUAUCGGAGAUGGAUGAGCCCGCGUUGGAUUAGCUAGUUGGUGGGGUAAUGGCCUACCAAGGCGACGAUCCAUAGCUGGUCUGAGAGGAUGAUCAGCCACACUGGGACUGAGACACGGCCCAGACUCCUACGGGAGGCAGCAGUU